rnacentral:piRNA from 1 species
UGGGAUUAAAUGUGUGCACUUCCCCCCAC